UAGACCGCCUGGGGAGUACGGCCGCAAGGUUAAAACUCAAAUGAAUUGACGGGGGCCCGCACAAGCGGUGGAGCAUGUGGUUUAAUUCGAUGCAACGCGAAGAACCUUACCUGGUCUUGACAUCCACGGAAGAAUUCAGAGAUGGAUUUGUGCCUUCGGGAACCGUGAGACAGGUGCUGCAUGGCUGUCGUCAGCUCGUGUUGUGAAAUGUUGGGUUAAGUCCCGCAACGAGCGCAACCCUUAUCCUUUGUUGCCAGCGGUCCGGCCGGGAACUCAAAGGAGACUGCCAGUGAUAAACUGGAGGAAGGUGGGGAUGACGUCAAGUCAUCAUGGCCCUUACGACCAGGGCUACACACGUGCUACAAUGGCGCAUACAAAGAGAAGCGACCUCGC
rnacentral:rRNA from 1 species